UGCAUCCUCAGAUCGGACUGCAAUAGUCACAGCUGGCUCUGUCUCACCAAAUCUACCCCUUAAACAUGUCAAUUGUACAGCGCAUCUCUUAGUAGGAUCAUAACAGCAUACCAUGUCAGCUGAUUCACAAAACCAGAGGGAUCCCUGUCUGGUUUUGGAAACUGCACAACCAUGGCACACAGCUUCAAAAGAGGGACUCAACAACUGUCCCAAACUACCAGUAACCUGAAAGCUCAGACUCCUUCACACACUGAGAAGAAGGGGAAGGAGAAAAACCUCUUAUGAUGCGAGUCGACUCAGUUGGCCUUGUUCUCAGUAGUGUGGAGAAGCCCUGGCUUCCUUAACCCUAGAACUGACCAUCACUCUGCACUGAUUUAAUAAGAUAAACACACAACCUGUAAUGUUUUUAAAAAGCAGUGUAACCAUCACUGAUUUGACACUACAACCAUCUCACAUGUUGGUUCUCUACUCUCUCUUCUAAAGUAUGCGUCAUCUCAGAAAACACUCUGUACAUUGUGUAGGAAUGUGUGGAUCUAGAAAAGAUUACAGGCUAAUUCACGCUGCCACACUAAUACCUCAAGACAUGACGUACUGCAAAGGGCCAAUUUUCACUUUAAUAACUGAGGUACUGUCCCUGCAGAACUCAUUUCCUUCCAUACAAAGCCUGUUAGCCUUGACACAAUUCAGCCCACAGUAUAAUCUUGCUAUAAGAAAGUUAAGAGUAAAACUCAGUAAUAACACAUUCAACAUAGUGUCAACCUGUGUACUUGACAACCAGGCUUCAUAGUAUCACUGCUGCUGUUCUCAUCACAGACAAUAAGGCAAAUACACCCAAACCGGGUGUACACAAGCCUUUUUUAGAUUCAUCUAAGUCAUCCGUCUCUGCCAGGCUCCCUCCCAAGAACCCAAAUGCACCCCCCGGCUGGUACCGCGUAAACCAGGUCCGACGACAGUGUAAAUAUGAAACUUCCUGAAGUAUCCCCGCAUCAAUGACUGAAUGCUUUGCAGGAGUGGGAUAAAUUCCCCUGCUGGGAGGCCUCCCAACAUCUGGAAAAUCUAAUA